CGUUGUUUUGCGACGUCGCAGCGACGGGGCGCUGGUCUUACGUUUUUACGGUAAUACUGUGUAAAUCGAGACGUCGACACAACCACAUUUUGUUAGUAGGGUAAUAUUUUUAUAAAGGGAACUAUUUGCAAGCUACUACAUCAACAUCAACAGCCCCCCUACUUCCAAGUUUGAUCCUAGAGAGUAUACAAGGACCUGGUUGAAGAGCCACCGUGCUGCCUCUUCUGUGCGUUCUAGACAGUGCAGUGUGAAAACCCCUGCAGAAAGCAGCUGAGGAGGCUAGACCUAGAGAGGAGCCAGAGGAGAGUGAGACAGGACUACAGGUGAGAUUUUUCUUUUUAUGUUG